rnacentral:rRNA from 1 species
CCUACGGGCGGCAGCAGUGGGGAAUAUUGGUCAAUGGGCGCAAGCCUGACCCAGCAACGCCGCGUGAAGGAAGAAGGCUUUCGGGUUGUAAACUUCUUUUCUGAGGGACGAAGAAAGUGACGGUACCUCAGGAAUAAGCCACGGCUAACUACGUGCCAGCAGCCGCGGUAAUACGUAGGUGGCCAGCGUUAUCCGGAUUUAUUUGGUGUAAAGGCCGUGUAGGCGGGAAAGCAAGUGAGAUGUGAAAACUCAGGGCUCAACCCUGAGCCUGCAUUUGAAACUGUUUUUCUUGAGUGCUGGAGAGGCAAUCGGAAUUCCGUGUGUAGCGGUGAAAUGCGUAGAUAUACGGAGGAACACCAGUGGCGAAGGCGGAUUGCUGGACAGUAACUGACGCUGAGGCGCGAAAGCGUGGGGAGCAAACAGGAUUAGAUACCCUAGUAGUC